GAUGAAGAACGUAGCGAAAUGCGAUAAGUAAUGUGAAUUGCAGAAUUCAGUGAAUCAUCGAAUCUUUGAACGCACAUUGCGCCCCUUGGUAUUCCGAGGGGCAUGCCUGUUCGAGCGUCAUUAUAACCCCUCAAGCUCAGCUUGGUGUUGGGGCCUGCUGCACUGGCAGCCCUUAAAAUCAGUGGCGGCGCCAUCUGGCUCUAAGCGUAGUAAUUCUUCUCGCUAUGGAGUCCUGGUGGAUGCUUGCCAUCAACCCCCAAUUUUUCUAUGGUUGACCUCGGAUCAGGUAGGGAUACCCGCUGAACUUAAGCGUAUCAAUAAGCGGAGGA
rnacentral:misc_RNA from 1 species